UUGCUCUCUCUUUCUAUCAAACCUGUUGGCAGAAGGAGGUCUGGCUGAGGAGUUGCUCCUGCUGACGGAGAUGGAGGACGGAGGAAGAGCGGGUGGUUUGUUCCA